CCGCGGUAAUGGGGGAAACCCUGACCGAGCGACGCCGCGUGCAGGAUGAAGGCCCUUGGGUUGUAAACUGCUUUUAUCGGGGAAGAAACGCGAUCAGGUGAACAAUCUGGUCGCCUGACGGUACCCGAUGAAUAAGCUCCGGCUAACUCCGUG
rnacentral:rRNA from 1 species